GGUUCCGAGCGUUAAUCGGAAUUACUGGGCGUAAAGGGUCUGUAGGUGGUUUGUUAAGUCAGAUGUGAAAGCCCAGGGCUCAACCUUGGAACUGCAUUUGAUACUGGCAAACUAGAGUAUGGUAGAGGAAUGGGGAAUUUCUGGUGUAGCGGUGAAAUGCGUAGAGAUCAGAAGGAACACCAAUGGCGAAGGCAACAUUCUGGACCAAUACUGACACUGAGGGACGAAAGCGUGGGGAUCAAACAGGAUUAGAUACCCUGGUAGUCCACGCUGUAAACGAUGAGUACUAGCUGUUGGAUUCGGUGUAAAGGAUCUAGUGGCGUAGCUAACGCGUUAAGUACUCCGCCUGGGGACUACGGCCGCAAGGCUAAAACUCAAAGGAAUUGACGGGGACCCGCACAAGCGGUGGAGCAUGUGGUUUAAUUCGAUGCAACGCGAAGAACCUUACCUGGUCUUGACAUCCUGCGAACUUUCUAGAGAUAGAUUGGUGCCUUCGGGAACGCAGUGACAGGUGCUGCACGGCUGUCGUCAGCUCGUGUUGUGAAAUGUUGGGUUAAGUCCCGCAACGAGCGCAACCCCUAUUGAUAGUUACCAUCAUUAAGUUGGGUACUCUAUUGAGACUGCCGCUGACAAGGCGGAGGAAGGUGGGGACGACGUCAAGUCAUCAUGGCCCUUACGACCAGGGCUACACACGUGCUACAAUGGGUAUUACAGAGGGCAGCGAAGUAGCGAUAUGGAGCGAAACUCAGAAAGGUACUCUUAGUCCGGAUUGCAGUCUGCAACUCGACUGCAUGAAGUCGGAAUCGCUAGUAAUCGCAGGUCAGAAUACUGCGGUGAAUACGUUCCCGGG
rnacentral:rRNA from 1 species